rnacentral:rRNA from 1 species
CUACGGGGUGCAGCAGUGAGGAAUAUUCCGCAAUGGGGGAAACCCUGACGGAGCGACACCGCGUGGAGGAUGACACCCUUUUCGGGCGUAAACUCCUGUUCUGAGGGACGAAACUUUUGACGGUACCUCAGGAGAAAGCACCGGCUAAUUCCGUGCCAGCAGCCGCGGUAAUACGGAAGGUGCAAGCGUUACUCGGAAUUACUGGGCGUAAAGCGUCCGCAGGCGUCCUAUAUAGUCUGGCGUAAAAGCACGGAGCUCAACUCCGUGUCCGUGCCGGAAACUCAUAGGAUAGAGGUAUGCAGGGGCAUCUGGAAUACCAUGUGAAGGGGUAAAAUCCGUUGAUCCAUGGUAGAACGCCAAAAGCGAAGGCAGGAUGCUGGGCAUAACCUGACGCUCAGGGACGAAAGCGUGGGGAGCGAAGGGGAUUAGAUACCCCCGUAGUC